rnacentral:rRNA from 1 species
AACGAACGCUGGCGGCAUGCCUAACACAUGCAAGUCGAACGAUGCCUCCGGGCAUAGUGGCGCACGGGUGCGUAACGCGUGGGAAUCUGCCCUUGGGUUCGGAAUAACUCGCCGAAAGGCGAGCUAAUCCCGGAUGAUGACGUAAGUCCAAAGAUUUAUCGCCCAAGGAUGAGCCCGCGUAGGAUUAGCUAGUUGGUGGGGUAAAGGCCCACCAAGGCGACGAUCCUUAGCUGGUCUGAGAGGAUGAUCAGCCACACUGGGACUGAGACACGGCCCAGACUCCUACGGGAGGCAGCAGUGGGGAAUAUUGGACAAUGGGCGAAAGCCUGAUCCAGCAAUGCCGCGUGAGUGAUGAAGGCCUUAGGGUUGUAAAGCUCUUUUACCCGGGAUGAUAAUGACAGUACCGGGAGAAUAAGCUCCGGCUAACUCCGUG